rnacentral:lncRNA from 1 species
UAGUUUACAGUUUUCACAUGACAAAACAGCUGUGAAAGCGUUUUGGUUCAUGAAUUUAGGUUGCGAGAUAUAUAAACUAUUUCGAAAAUUGAAUUAGUUUGAAUGUAACACUAACAAUUUGACUUUUGACUUGAGACUACUAAUGAGAGAGGUUCUGACAGCACCUCCAAUGGUAAGCACCAUUGGAGGGUGCUAAUCAAUUUUUUAAAAUUAAAUUUUUAAAAAUAGUGCUUAUGUGUUGCUUAUAAUCACAACUUAAGCUAUGGUGCUUACAAUAUUUUCUUUUUUUAUGAUUAUAAUCAUUACAUAUAAUGAUAAGCAAUAUGUUAAAGAUACAUUAAGCAUCUCCAUUGGAAAUGCUCUAAGGUUGAGAGGGAGUCAUCGCCAUGCGCCACGUCAACCACUAGGUCAAAGAGAGCAACGGUGAGGUGGAUCAAGCAGCACGUGAUGCUUGGUCGGUCACGUGAGUGCGUCAGACCCAUCGGGGUACACGUGUCUCCGAGAUGAAACUCACUCGACUUCUACUAGUUUUCUUCGUUUUUGUUUUCAUGUUGGAGAUUCUCUAUAAGUAGAAAAAAAGCUUUGGCUCCUAUGUAAUGUACGGAUCGAUGAUCUCAAACUAAGGGUUGACUUUGUUUACUUUACUAUAACAUUUCAAGAAACUAAGAGCAAUCUUGGGUCAACAACGUAUGUAUUUGAAAAUCGUUGAUAUAUGUGCGAGUCAAAACAUCAUAUUCCAAUGCUUAAUUCAUUUAUUGGCGGAUCAUUAAAUGAGAUCAAAAUUUCCAUAAAAAUACAAUGGCAUAUAUCUUUUCUUAAACUUUAUCCAUCAACCUGUUGUUUCUCCUCCAUUCUUCCUUAAAUUUUGAUAUCCCCACAUCGGGCAGCUGUGUGCGUGGACCACAUGUGGGUCACGAGUAAAUUUGGUGGGCUGGCCCAUUAUGUUCAGUGUCCAGAGAUUAUGCCUAUAUCUAUUACGCUAUUCUUUUACAAAUCUUAACCUGUUUAUAUUUGUGUAAAUGUAUUAUUUGAUACUGAUUUGGAAAACAAAAAGACGAAGUUAAAGAGCUAAAACCAAUCGUACAUAAAUUUAUAUGAGUAUCUCUAACUCUAAUCGUUUCGUAUUUUUUUUUAUUUUGUAAUUAAAAGGAUGUAUUUAAGUAAUAACUAAAAAUUAUAGAUCUGAAAAUUUAAUUAAUAUAUUAUCUGGUUAUAAUUUUUUUUUAUAGUAAAUUUCAUUUUCUUGUGUCGAGUUCAAUUAUGAUACUAUUAGUUAGUUAUAUAUCCGCUUCAUGGUGGGAAAUAUGUUUUGAUCAAUAUUUGGUAAUAGAAAAUAAACAAAUUAUAUUUUGGACUUUUAGAAGCUUCAUCUAUGUAUAUGUUAAUGGUUCUUAUUCAUUCACUUAACCUUUUAUUAGCUAUAGGUUCCUUCAUGGACGUUGCCGAUUAUAUAUAUAUAGGAAGAUUCUCCUUAUAAUAUAAUAUAUGGUAUUCAAUUUGUAGGAUUUGGUUCAUGCACGAAGACAUAAAAGGGCUUUAUGAAGUCUAGUCGUAGCUAUAUAUAUUGUCCCCAACCUCGAGAGAGAGCACUUACACUAGUCGUAAUGGAGACAACAAUUGAAGAUUCUGAUUCUUAUUCAAUCCAAACCACACAAACUUGGUUUUUUCCUCCCCAUGGAUUAUCAUUAGUCUACUACUAUAGAAUGAACGUUAAUUCCAAUUUUCUUAAAUUCUAUUCUCUUAGUGUUGAAUUAAUAUUGUUAGAUUCAUUACGCCUUUCAGUUCAAGAAAGACGUCAGAACUGUCGAACUAUUGAACGAAUUAUUGUGUAAUUUAUUUAUUUUCAUACAUGCUCUGAUUAAAAAUUAUAAUGAAUAUUAACUCCAAUAAUAAAUAAAUCAUUAUAAAAAAUGUGAAUUACAAGGAUAUCAAUUGUGCGUUUUAGAUGUUUAACAGAAAUAGAAUAACCUUAUUGGAAUGCACUGUGGGUUAAUCAUAUUUAAUACCAGGGUUGAACUUUUUAAGCUAUAUUUCAGAUAUUAUAGUUUGACAUAUUAUAGUUUUACAGUUUCUCAGAAAUAAUUUUUUUGGUGACAAUUUAACCAAUAUUAUGUUUUUUUUUUUUUUUUUNNNNNNNNNNNNNNNNNNNNNNNNNNNNNNNNNNNNNNNNNNNNNNNNNNNNNNNNNNNNNNNNNNNNNNNNNNNNNNNNNNNNNNNNNNNNNNNNNNNNNNNNNNNNNNNNNNNNNNNNNNNNNNNNNNNNNNNNNNNNNNNNNNNNNNNNNNNNNNNNNNNNNNNNNNNNNNNNNNNNNNNNNNNNNNNNNNNNNNNNNNNNNNNNNNNNNNNNNNNNNNNNNNNNNNNNNNNNNNNNNNNNNNNNNNNNNNNNNNNNNNNNNNNNNNNNNNNNNNNNNNNNNNNNNNNNNNNNNNNNNNNNNNNNNNNNNNNNNNNNNNNNNNNNNNNNNNNNNNNNNNNNNNNNNNNNNNNNNNNNNNNNNNNNNNNNNNNNNNNNNNNNNNNNNNNNNNNNNNNNNNNNNNNNNNNNNNNNNNNNNNNNNNNNNNNNNNNNNNNNNNNNNNNNNNNNNNNNNNNNNNNNNNNNNNNNNNNNNNNNNNNNNNAAAAAAAAAAAAAAAAAAAAAACUCACAACUCACUAGGCUGCAUGAAUAAAUCAUCAGGCAAAAACACACGUGAAAAAUAGGGUUAAUAGAUAUAUAAGUUUAUAAAAUUUUAUAUAUUUCGAUAUAUGCAUUGAGUAAUGUAAACAAAAAAAAAAAGAGAUUUUCGAAAGAAAGACAGGCUAUGGAAUGUUCACUUAUACGUAGGAACUAGGAGGAAUGCAUCUUCCGGUAGAAGUUUCUUAAUGAAAGUGACCCCCUACUGUUAAUUUUAUGGAACUAAUUUAGCGAUUAAUUAUAUUUUAUAAAAACUUACAUAUUGAAUUAUAAUAAGAUUCAGAUUCUAGAGUAUGUAAGGUAUUCGAAGAGGUUGCAGAUUCGUGUUUUUUAAAGAUUUUAGGUUGAGUUGUUUUAGGUGAUCUUGCAUGUGUGUGUUCAGUUCAACUGUCUAUUCCAUAUUAUUUAUGAGUAUUCAGUUAAUCUAAUCGAUGACAACACAUUAACGAUCAGAUAUCUUAGAGAAUAAUAGCUACAAAAAAAAAAAAAAAAAAAUACCACAAAAACAGUGAAAGUCUUAAUUCUCAACCUAUCAUAAGCUUGAUAAUUGAAUAUUAUAUAAAUUAAACCACCACGAUUUUUAAUUCUUAAACUUUAUAUUAAAUGAAAGUAUGAUAUCUUAAUAAAUGUUUUUAAUUUAAAACAAGUAAAUCGUAUAUGCAAGCGUGAGAUGCGAAGCAUAAAAUCAAAUUGCGAAUACCUUUUGUAUUUGCGUUCACAACUUACAAAUGAUCUCUCUCACAAAAUUAUUGGAAAUUUAUGUAAACAUAUAUAUAUGAACAUAAUAUUUUUAUUAAGACUUACUUAAUGCAAUGAUCAAUACUUACAUCUGAAACUUGAACAGAUACGUUAUAAGUCGUUAACUAGGCAUAACAAUAUUUGCCAAGGCCAAGUGAAUAAUAAGAUGUAAUCGACAAUUAAUGAAGCUAGCUCUUAUAUAUUAAUCUGAUCCUUAGAGUCGCAUAACCAGAAAUCUCAUCACCGAAAUAGAGUAUCUCUAUUCGAUUUUAAAAAACUGCCAAUAAUGUUGAUCUUAAUUAGCUCAAUUUGGAGUUUUGGACGACCGAUCCAAAAUAUUCGUAAACGUGUUUAAUUUGCUUGGAUAAUGUAUAUAUUCGUAAAUCGUAAACUUGAUCUUAAGAUCAGUAGUAAAUUAGUUGAUCCAGUAAUAUAUUCCGAACUGUUUAUAUAAUAAAAAUAAAAUAAAAUAUGAAAGGAUGUGAAAAUACAAUUGAUCACAAGAUGAAAACAUCUAUGCGAAAUGUAAAGUCAUGUCAAAGAACUUAAUUUUGGAGAGGAUGAUCAGAUCACUAGUCAGUAGUCAUAUCCCCAAGGCGUAGAUUCUGCGAGUCAUUGAGAAAAGUUGAAAACAUGAAAGUUGGUCCAAGGAAGAGAGAGAGAGAGAGAGAGUCGGUGUUGAGAGAGUAGCAGGAGAGGUCAACCCACGUGCGCACUACCUACGAAGUCAUACAUAUUCCCAUGGGUCCUCUCUACUGUACUUUGGUUCUUUCUCUCUUUUUUUUUUUUUUUUUUUUUUUUUGUUCAAAUGUUUCUUUCUCUCUUUAUUAUUCAUUCACUACACAUCAUAUUUUUGGUAACAAGAUUCCAUUACUGUUUCCAUCAAUAACACCAUUUUGUAUUUUUAAUUAUCUGUUUCUCUUCUUCACUUUUUUCUUUUCUUUUGGCCAAGUUCAACUUGAUUUUAUAUACUUCAAAACAUCUAGAAAUUAGCUACUUCGUUUUAUUUUAUUUUAUUUAUUAAGUUAGCUUUGUUUUCGAAAAAGAAACUAACUAUCCGAAUUGAUGAAAAUUAAUUCAGUAUACUAGAGUUUAAAUUUUGAUACAUUGUACCGGUCUUUUAAAAAUUUCGAUAAUUCCGAUAUGUAAAUUUAAUAUUAGUUUUGUUUUUUCUUGUAAAGUUUUAAAAUAAAUAACAAAUUGGUAGCAGCUGAUGCCAAAUAUAUUGAAAUUCAUAAGACCAAUAGCUCUCUAAGGAAAAAACUAUAAUACAAUAUGGAACAUCUAUGUUGAAAGAGAGAAAAAGGUAUAAAGAACAUCUCUAUAUAAGAUUUUUUGAUAAGUGGAUGGUUCGAACUUACGAAUAUUAGGUUAAUGGACCCACUUGUUUCCUUGCCUAUAAAUUCCCACAAAUCAAAUCUCAUUUAAUCCAUGCAAAAUUAACACACAGAGACAAACAUAAAAACACACACAGACGCUAAAACUUGUGUACGUCUCCAAACUCUCAUACAUCCCUUCUUUCUUCUUCUUCUUCUUCUUACUCACUUUGUCUUUGUCUCUCUUCUCACACACAACAUUAUACACACACAAACACACAUAUAUAUGGAUCAAGGAGGUCGUAGCAAUGGAGGAGGAGCCGAGCAAGUGAAGUUCCGUGGAGUAAGGAGACGGCCUUGGGGAAAAUACGCAGCGGAAAUAAGAGAUUCGAGGAAGCACGGAGAGCGUGUGUGGUUAGGGACAUUUGACACUGCAGAAGACGCAGCUCGAGCCUAUGAUCGAGCGGCCUAUUCAAUGAGAGGCCAAGCCGCCAUUCUCAACUUCCCUCAUGAGUACAACAUGGGAGCCGGAUCCUCUACCACCGCGGCUAACACUUCUUCCUCUUCUAGUCAAGUUUUUGAGUUUGAGUACUUGGACGAUAGUGUUUUGGAUGAGCUUCUUGAAUAUGGGGAGAACUAUAAUAAGACUCACAAUAUCAACAAUGGUAAGAGGCAAUAAGUGGGAUAAUGCAAUCCUAAUAGAAUGAUGAUCCAAGGUUUAUGUGACAGACCAUAAAAGAAGAAGAACAAGAAAGAUGCUGUUUUCAUUUAUAUUGACCAAUAAAUUGUAAUUGUUUCUGUAACGAAUAAGAUCAUGUAAGCGGGGUCAUCUAAAUAUCUGCAAGACGAGUCCUUGUAAUUAGUUUUGAGAAUGUAUUAAUGAAAAUAAUGAUUAUAUGAAACAUCCUUUUACGUGUAAGCUAUAUGCUUAUUGAUAUGUUCGUAACCUUCAUCAUGUGAUAGGAUUCUCUACGUAUACAUAUGCUUAUAUGUUUUUUUUCUUUUCAUAAAUCAAAUAGCUAAACAUCUAUAUUUUGAAAUCAGUGUUAUAUAUCACAUACAUUGUUGUAUAUUAUAUAGCAUUUUCAAGUACGCUAUGUUUUACCAUUGCUUCUUAAUCCUAUUUCAUGUAUAAGCAGCAAUUGAGUUGAGUUUGGUUAAAACCAAACCCAAGUAUUGUAUACAGGAGUGUAUCUGUGUAUAUUUUCUGAAUAUUUCUUUUGACUUAAUUACAGUACUUAUAUAGUUAUAUGUGAGUGAGAAUAUAUGUAAAAAAAUAAAAAUAAAAAGUUUCGGUCUCAAGAUAAAAAUAGCUUGAAUGUAGGUCUUUUUUUUCUUCGUAUUAUAGGUUUUUAAUAAAUAUCAUAAAAUUUAGACGAUACAAAUAUAAUAAACAUGAAUAAAUAGUUUGGUUCAGGUUGCACUAAAUUAAUUUGAUGUGGGGCUCGGCUUUAACAUAGUAGGUCUAAUCACUACAAACCCUUUUUUCCGUUCACACGCACCAAUACUUCGAUGGCGUCGUCGCUUUUGGUCCCAUCGGCGGCUGUUGACGACACACCGGCCUCAGUCAAACCUUCUAGUCUAGUUGCUCGAAAACCCUUGUUGCCGCCGCCGAUAGCUCAGGUCGAGAAACCGCUCGCCUUGACGCACGAACCGUACGAUAACGAUCCUGAGUCUCAUCGAGGAAUGCGACUCUUUACACGAGUGCGUUCUUAAAUAAUGGCGAAACCCUAACUCUGAAUAUUCUGAACUCUGGUCGAGUUUCUAGACAGGGUAUUAUAUAAUCUGAUGCUCUGUUAUUAGUUACUAUUCCGAUCGAAUUACUUGAUUUGGAUUCAUACUCGAGCUGAAAAAGCUUGCUUUUGUUUGCAAGUACCCUAUGCUCAACGCUUAUGAAUUUGUAGUUUGUCAUCAUCUUCGCAAACCAAAUAACACAUUACCUCGGUUGAGAAAGUAAUUCAAUGAAUAUCUCUGUUCUUUAACCUCUCUUUCAAGAUUUCUCACAAAUACAAGAAGAACGUUUCUUGUACUAGUAGAAGAUUAUAUAGAGAGAGAGAUGUAGACAAAUACGUCGAUGAUGUAACUUGUAAUUUACUUAUUUUGUUAUAAUGUGAGCGAAGAUAAGUUGUAUAUAUAGAAGACACAUCAGGCAACAAGAGAGAUAAGCGGAGAGGAGACGACCACAAAACAAAACAAAAAGCGUUGUUGGUUUUUUCGAUGUAACAAAGAAAAUAAAAAAAAAGGAGAAUUUUUUGGUCUUAUUGAAAACUCUUCUAUUUAAACACAAGCAUAGAUACAACAAUUACACAAAUAUCUAACUUGAAGAUUAAACCCACCAAAUAAAUGGCUAAUCCAUGUAUGAUAUAAAUACACCAUUUAUAAAAUCUUUCGAUCUGCACCAUGGCUUUUUCAAAGCACUCAUAGAUGGAAUCAGUAAUUUUGUUUACUUUUUCGUUCUUAGUUGAAUCCAGGAUCAGUUCUGAUCUAAGGAUUGGAACUAGAAACUGGUUGCGGAAGUAAAAACGACCAAGGAGUUUGGAAAUCAGAGAGAACCAGAAAAGAUCGUAGGCGUCAACCAAGAAGCUCAUGCUGUCGAAGACGAUACCAAUGAAAAUGUAAAAGAGCGUUUUCGCGACGCCAAGUGCUGCUUUCAGGACUUUCACCAUUUUCACACUUUGUCUUUCUAGCUAAACGAGUUCAAUUAGGGAAAAAGAAAAUGAUUCUGCUCAUUUUUUUGGAUGUGUUGUAUUGAUAUUUGGGCACGAAGUGGUUCUCACGAUUAUUGUAAAAUAAUUGUCUAGGAACUGACUUUUUAACAAACUAAAAAGGUAAAGCAAUAUAUAAUAUCAAGCAGUUUCAUAAACAUGGAAUGGUAUAAUUAAAACCCUGAUUAAAUAAAAAUUUGCAUCUCUAGAUCCAAUAUAAAACAUUUACUAUGCUAUAAAUAUAGGAAUAUGACUGGUAGGAAUUAGGAAAGCACAACUGUUUCGACACAACAUUUUGGUAUAAUGGUUUAGUUAUUGCAGACCCUAAAACAGAGAAGCUUUAACUUGGAUAAGAACUUAGAUCCCCACAUAUAUAGUUGCAUCAAACUGAAUAUUGGUCUUAGACUUAUCGUUUCAUAUCCUGUAAUGCGACAGAUACGAUGUUCCAUCAAGACCUUUCUCAAUGUAUCCCUUGGAGUACUCUGGUGCAGUGAAUUCUCUGUAUUUUGGGGGAUUUUCUUCAGACAGAAGCUCCUUUAUUGGUCCGUAAACCGUGGAAUUUUCAUUCAUACACGAGCUGAAAAAGCACGCUACUGAGACCCUCGGUCCAGCUCUGUUUGCAAGCACCCUAUGCUCCGCGCUUCUGAACUUAUCGUUAGUCAUCAUCUGCACAUGCCAAAUAAGAGAAACUUAGCUAAGAAAGUAACGUCUUCAUCAAUGUCUCUUAUACUUUAAACCUGCAAGAAAUCUCCGAUGUUGAUGACAAGUGCCCCAGGAAGAGGCGAGACAUCGACCCAACAGUCUUGAUGAAGAACUUGAAGACCCCCGAUGUUGUCCUGAAGAAGAAUGGUGAUAAAGGUGUUGUCGGAGUGCUUGCUUGUUCCCAAAGUCAGGUCAGGUUGUGGACAGGGAGGGUAAUAGUGGCAUAUCAUAUGCAUACCCUUCAUGCAACCCAUACUCUUAAGGCUCUCUGAGCUCAAACCAAGAGCUUCCGAGAGAAGUUCAAAGAGCAUACCAGCUAAGCUCAUCACGUGCACCGAGUAUCCCAUCAUAGCAUCUCUGAGCCAAUUAAUAAUGUUCAAUUUAUUUUUAUAUAUCUUAAGUAGUUAAGUAUUCCCUAAGACUUAAUUCACAAUGAAAAACAAAAAGUAAUUACCUGCAAGCCACAGGGAUCUCCUCUGGGUUUGGAGGAUCAGGAGCCAUGUAACAAGCGAAAGAGUCUCUCCAGUUACCAGAAGACGAACUGUACAGUUCGAAGUUAUUGUGGUAGAUGAAUGUUUUUGCGAAGUCAAGGGAGAAGUAAGAUUUCUUAACCUCGGGAUCUUCGUCAUGAAAUCUGACUACUCCAUCUUUAAUAUCAUCAAGAACACUUGAGGGAACACCAUGGUUGAUCACCUGGAAGAUUCCCCACUUCUCUGCAGCGUCUUUGAUCUUCUCCACAACGCCUUCACGUGACACUGCAUCUACGUGGACGCAUGAAAAGUCGAUGAUAGGGACUGCAAAAUCCGAUGCAGAAACACAAGGUUUCUUGUCGUCUAAGGCAACUGGAGGAAAGCCAAAGAUAGGAGGAACCUUGGUCACUCCAUAGGAGCUGUCGAUCGAGUUUUCGGCCACCAUUUGUUUUUUUGUUUUUAAUCUCUUCUUUCUUCUCAAAGAUUUGUCACCUUAAAGCUGGUUAUAUACGGAGCAAACACCAAGAAGAAAAAAGAAGAAAGAGAUGAGGUAACAUAAACGUGGAGAAGGUCAUGCUAAAAACGAGAAGCGUUACAGAUCGACUUAUUAGAAGACAAAAUUCAGAGUUAGGUCUUCCUUAUGUGUCACUGAUUAUAUGACCGUUUCGUGAAAGCUUAAAAUUAUCAUGUUUCGUGGAAAUUAACGUUAUAACCGAUUCAGGUCCAAAAAAAAACCCUAAUUAUUUAAUUGUCCAAAAAGGCGCUAAUUAAUUCAAAACUUGUUCGAAAAUGGUUCAAAGAUAAACCUUGUAUAGCUUACAGAAAUUACUUUGUACAUUACCUUGUUUAGCUUACAAAAAAUUUCAUGUGUUUUUUAUCACUAUAGAACAGAAACGAUUCUUUGACAAAAUCCCACAACAGAUUGCUCCCUAUCUAAAGAGACCAAGGCCACUGUAUAACAGGUAUGAUCUUCAAAAGGGAUUGUGACGACAAAUCGACUAACUAUACAUCCCGGAUCCUUUGCAUGGUAGAUGAUGUAAGGAUAUCAAACAGGACCAAAAAGCCUCAUAAACUCUCAAAAAGGUCAAAGCCCUGUUUAACUUUUGCUUCUAUUGAUUUAACCACCCUGUUGAGAAAACUGAACAGCAGCUGUCCGAAUCAAGUUAACCAGCUCGUCAUCUAGCUCAUCGAGCUCACCUGAGUCACGAAGCUGAUGAUAUAUAGGAGCUGCAUGAUUAGCAGCCGCUUCCACCAGUUUCCACAUCGAGAAACUUGCAGCCAAUUCGAUUGUUUUGAUAGAUAACUCUCUAGCGGAUUCCAAGCAAGAGAGAAUCACAUGAGCGCAAUCGUUUUGAAGAUCUUCCAUAAUCCACCAUUCAGAAAGCGAGUAUAUCUCCACGUAAGCUUGAAGCUCACCCAGUUUUGUCUCGUUGUCCAUGUUGUUCCACUUGCAACCAGAUGGAGGGUUUGGCAACUCAUCAGAGUAGAACCAACGCACAAGCUUUUUUAACCCCAGCCAGCUCACAGGAACCUUUAGUGUAUCCAAAUGGCUGCAGAUUUUUAAGAUCCAAUUAUUAGAUGUUGAGUUUUUUAUUACUCAAUACAUUUAUUCUCUGCCCACAUUAGAGUAACACAUACAGCAAAAAUACCAAAUAACUCCUCAGGUUUUGUAUAAUUAGAGGUGGAUACACAUUACCAAAGUAAAUCUGACUCGCAGUUAGUUUUGAUUUUCUUCUGGAUAAACAUGAUCUACCCGAUGGGGUUUCUAUUAAAGUUGGCGGUGUAAUAGAUACUUGAAAUUUACUGGAUGUAUGGUCAGUGUCCACCCCUAACUAGAAGGGGCUUGCUUUAGGAAAAUCCUAGAACUAAUACAGCCACCAACAUAUAGUUCACCAAAGAAAAUUAAGUGAACUAAGAGUAAUGUUACAUACCUCUCUUGCAUCCCGGACCGGAACAAGGCACGUAGGUAUUCACAGCCUGAUGACAGUAUAACCCGGUGAGAGUGGGCAUGGGGAGAUGUUGAGGAACACAAACGGCAGUUGAAGCCAGGCACGUUUGUUUCUUUAGGUAGUAAUAUCACAUCCCUGAAAUUACAAGAAUACUAUCAUUUAUACCUGGGUUUAUCUGUUUGUUAAAGUCGAAAAGUUUAAUGAGACUGAUAAACUUACGAGAAAUGGAUUAGUUUAGGAGUGAGGGCAAUGGAUAUAUCAAUCCCGGGUAUUGAAGAUCCCCACUUGGGUCUUCGUCUGCAGAGCAUCUGCUGCAGAACCUUUGCCUUACAAUGUCUCGCCAAAGUUUUCAGCUUUUUCAGCAUCGUGAUUUCUACUUCCACAUAUCCAGAGUAAGCGAAUUCCAAUAAUUUAACAAGUGCCAAAGUAUCCACAUUGGCAGAUAUGCGGAUUUCUUGAACGGUUCUCUGAGAUUUCCCAGUUAAUAUAGUUGAGCUACUGUGAGCUCCUUCCUUGGGAGGCAGCAACAUUGGACACCUGACAGCGAUAAUAACUUUAUUUACACUUGCACUAUUCCCACUAGCAAAAAGAAGUCGCAUAUCAAUACAUUCCUCAUCUUCAUAAGCUCCCAUGAGCCUUUUCCCCAAGUUAUGUUGGAAGCCAUAGUAUCCAAAAUAGCUUAGGAUAUGUGCAGCAUACCACCUUGGACCAGAGCCAUAAGUUCCAUCCCGGAUUUCCUUAAGUGUAGUGCAUAACCGAUCUAUCAAAUUUUCCCUAUUCAUUGAAAUUUCUUCAGUGUGAUUCUGUCCAGAGAAUAAAUAAUUCACCAACUCGGCCAAAGCUAAGAGAGCGUAUAGAAGAAAAGUAUCUUUGUUGUCCCAAUCUUCUGCACAUACCCAGCAACAUAUCCUCUUUUCGGAGGUGCUUUGGGUAGAAGGAGCAAAACUUGAUGCUCCAAUAUUUUCCCAAUUCCUUUGAUACCAGCUGCAGAAAGAUAAUAGUAUCUCCAAACCCUGGUUUCUUAAAAUGAAAUUUGCAUAUUGAGGAAUCGAUGAAUAGCAUGCAGAGCCCACCAAACAGACGGUAGUUUGUAGUAGAUUUGGCAGUAUGUAACUUCCAGAGGAUGGAAUAUAACUCAAGAAAUUCACAAGGGAAUUCAAAUUUUGCUCACCACCUUCUUCUAGGACAAAUGACAGGGUAACUCUGGCCCUCGCUGAUAUGUAUUUGGAGGGAGAAUAUAUCAUCAUUAGCACUGCUCUUGAUGCUGACUCGCUAUGGGAGGCGCUGAGAAUAUCAUUUUGACAUAUUUGAUAGCCUUUCUGAACCGAGCUUGAAAAGGUCAAGCUUGAAAAAAGGUCGAAAGAUAAAUAAUCAGAAUAGAUAAGAUUAUAUCCAAAAAGAAGCGGUUAUGAAAAACAAAACAACCAGUGUCUUACCAUGCACAUGUGACAAGAAAGUUGAGGCAGAGUUCAUCUCCAUGCAAAAUGGAAUCAAACUCUUCCUCACAGUGAGCUGCCAAGAAUCCAAUUAUAUCCCAAACAUAUGACCUCAGACUAGGAAGAAAAUUCGCAUUCAGUACCUUCUCAGCAAGUGAAAUUUCUUCUUCCUGAGACACACAACCAUCCAAGGAUUGACUUUGAAAAUUCUCCACAACAAGUCUAAGAAGUACUUCAGAGAUCUGAUACUUCCAGAAAUAAAAAUGAUGUUUUCCUUCCCAACGAGUGAUUAGAGCCAGUUUACAAGCCUCCACAAGCAAAGACAUCUGGUCAUGUUCAAGCUUUCCUGAGCUCAAGGACCACUUACCCAUAGUCUGGACAAUCGCCUUUACUAGUGACUCAGAACACAUGUUUAUCAUCUUCAAGCACUCUUGGUUACCUGUCUGAGCAACGGCCACUGGUUAGAAAUACAAAAAGAUAAUCAAAAUAAAGGUCAGCAGGGUGCGGCGCAAUUACCGCAAGCCUUUGUGCUAGCUUUAAUCCUUCAAUUCGAGCAUUUAGAGGGCUUGAUUCCUCUAUGCAGUUAAUCAUCAUAGCUAACAUAGGCUUCCCGUUGUCAAGAAGCUCAUUUGCACCAUGGCCACAAAGAGCUGACAGAAAAACAGAGAAACACCCACCAAGGGACAAGUUAGGGCCAAAUUUACUUGGUAGGUCAGGAAAGAACAUAAUACCUAAUUUUGCAAGCAUAUAUACCUAGAGAAGAAUACAGCUUCAAAGUUGCAACUCUCAAAUCCAUAUCAGGCUUCUGACUAACACUCUCCAAUAUACUCAUCAAAGCAGGGUUGUGCCAAACAGAAUACCUUGACUGAGGCAACUUCAACAUUAUUGUAUUCAAAAGCGAAGCCAUCUCUUGAAACCAUUCCACUGACAUACUUCCCUCAGAAAAGUUCUGGAGAUUAGCAACGACGGAAACCACGGUUUUAGAGUCUUCUAAAAUCUUCCACACUUCUUUCUCCUUCGUUUCUCGAACAUUCAUAAGAAUAGCGUUCAAUGCAACGGCACAGGCAAGGCAAACUUCCAGUUGUUGACAACGUAAGAGAGGUGAUAAAGACUCCACGAGAUCCAAAGAAUAGGAUUGCAAGAUAGAAGAAGGAACAGUACGAAUCAAUCUAAUAACUACAUUGACUGCCAAACCCACCACGGCUCUGUUCUUACACCCUAGAAUAAACACCAAGGCCCCGGCUAUAUCAGAUAUUGAAUCCUAAGCAGCACAAAACCCAAAAAAACAAAAAACAAAAUUGGAAUCAAGCAAGACAAUUACAACAAAAUUAGAACAAGCACAGAUCAAAACAGACCUUGAUAAGACGAUUGUGAGCUGUUGCUCGAGAAAAACAAUCAAGGAAAGCUGAAAUCGACUUCACGACAUGCCUUUGUAUCUCGAUAUCAGUACACUUCCACUUCUUCUCCUUCUCAUCACAUACCCUACCAAUCAAUAAACAAAUUUUCUCAGGAAAUCUAUUCAAAAAAAAAAAAAGAGGAAACAUCAAAGCAGCCUCAGAGAAACAGGGAGAUUGAGAGUAGAGAGAAAGAAAAAAGAGAGGACCUGAAGCCGAGAUUGAGAGCGUGAUAAAGACGUUGGUGAAGUGUAUUGAUGUGGCCGCUGCUGUUUCCUCCCUUUGACGACGCCAUAUCUGUCGCCGGGUUUCUCGUUCUGGCUGAUAUUUACCGGCGGAUGUGAUAAAUAUAACGGAGACAAAUUGACACAGACCACCAUCCUUUUAAUUUGAUAAUGGGCCUUUUUAGUUCAACGAUAAUGGGGCUUUUUUGGUUCGACAAUAAUGGGCCUUUAAAAGGCUUUCUUAUUCCUAAACUAAUUCGGCUCAUUAACAUUUUUCCUUCUCUCCCAAACAAUUAUGAAACUAAUUUAAGACGACAACAGAAAAACUUUCAUAUUAGUAGAAUAAAAUAAAAAAAUCAAAAACUUGAUACAUCCACAUGUGGAUGUUGUAUAUGUAAUGGAUCCAGUCAACCAACCAGUUGAAAGAUAAAGUGCUCUAUUAAGAAAUCAUUUUUUUAGUUAUGGUGCUAAAGUAAAAGAAAAAAAAUUAUUGAAGCUAUGUUACAAAAUCUCAAGUUACAUAAAAGUCGUAAGAUGCUUGACCCUCAAGUCCUCAACAUGGUCUAUAAAGGUGUAAACGUUAUUACCCUUUAACGCUCCCAUUCCUUGGAUUUGAACUCUUCUUAUAGUUUUCUUCUCGAGAUUGUAGUAGAAAACAUAGAAAGGUUCGUUUGGAAUUUUUUGUGACAAGACAACUUCAUUUGUACGAGUCAGUCCAACAAUGUGUACGGUGUUCCCUCGAAAAACAUGCCACCACAUAGGAGACAAAAUGUAAAUAUGCUUCGACCACUCAUGUUUUAGAGGGUCUUCUAGAACGCACAAUACAAAAGCGCCGGUUGUUCCAUCUACACAGCGAUAAUCUGACGUCGUAAUUGAACCAAAUUUACCAUUGUAGUUUAUCAGAGUUGAUGUACGAUGCACUACGGCAGAGAAAUCUUCCGUGACUUUAACAAAGCUGAACUUCUCAGACCUAAUAUCAAAGCAAACUAUCAUAGAAAUCGAUGAAGACAUGUUGACCUUAGCGAGAUAGUACAAAACACCAUUGAUGCAUAUCACCUUAUAUUCAGGACAAUGGGGUAUGCAACACUGGAUCAUUCCCCAAGAUCCAGUUCCUCCUAAUGUGAGAACUUGAUGCUCCUCGGAGAUCCCAUCAUCUCCAGAUGGAAAAGUCAUUGCCAACACCUUGAAGUGUUUCUCGACCGGAUCAUACCCUAAAAAGCUACUCAUGAGCUCCACCCUCCCUCUCGUCUUCAUUUUAGGUAAAGUAAAGGAUUGUCCGGUGCUAGGGUUGCAUAUCACCGUCUCCAACAAUCCACUUUUCUCUCCCCGUUUGUCAUGAAAACAGACCAAGCCACUUAUAGGAUUAAGUAUGUUGCGGAAUGGAUCACAGCGGAGCUUCAUAUGAUAUUCGGCGGCUACAACAGGAAACCAGUUCUCACAAGUUUGUGGGGUUGAGAAGAAGAACAACUCAUUGCUUUUCACGCAUGUGAACAAAAGCUGAGGCCGACCAGAAGAUUUGGUCAGGAACAACUCAGUGAAAUCUAUGCGGCCAAUUAUAGAACCCCACAGCUUUGAUACGCUACGAAAUCUCGCUACAGAUUUCGCCGGCAAACUUGAGAGUAUUUCAAAAAUCAGAUCAAUUGGAAUUAGGUCUGAGUAUUCACUUCUCCUCCACGUUUUCAUCAUCUCGUUAAACCCUAGCUAGCUUCCACUCACUCAGCGAUACGACGUUGAAAAAAAAAAUUAAUAUAGGGUUCAUGUUCCGAUAGGUAUAAUGCACAUGUAGCCCAAUCUUCAAUAUAUAUAGCUCAUGUCGGAGUUCGUAUUAUCAUUGUCCAUUAUAUUAAAAAAAAAAUCUAUUAUUAUACUCGCAGGAAAUCAGUUAUCAGUAUUAUCCUUUUACCUUUUUAAUAUAUACAGUUUUCGUAGAUUUUUUAUCGGAAGAUUUAAUUCCAUGAACUUUUUUUUCUGUAAAUUAAACUGCCUAAGAUGAUUAUUAUUGUAUCGUUUACCGGAUUUGUUAUAAUUAAUGACAUAUUUUUAACAUAUAAUUAGUAUACUGUAAUUUAGUAAGGCCACGUGCAUAAAAACGACAUGAUACAUUUGAUAUUCAUCACAACUUUAUUAAUAAAAAUAAAUCAAAAUUUAGGGCAGCAGUACAACACUCUCUCUAUAUAUAUCGUGAGUGAGUUCCAAGUAAAUAAUAUCCUGUAUUUUUGUUAAUUUGCAUACUUAUGAUCAGAAAUUGAUGGACACAUGCACUACAGGCUAUUAAUGAAUUCAAAGUAAAAAACAUCAAACGUAUAGGAAUAUGGUCAAAGAUAAUGGGAAUCGUACCAGGCCUCAGGGGGGUUCCUCUUCUGAAUGGGUUAACCAGGUCAGCGACUUCUGCUAUGCGGCUACGAAACACCAAUACACCAUAUAUGGUGAAGAAGAGAUGAACAGACCCAAGGAAAAAUGCAUGUGACCAGUUGGAGAAGAAUGAGAAGUCGGGAGCAGAGUCAGGGUUUUAUAAUUAAACCAAACGGAGAACAACGCAGACGGCUAGACAGCGAGGCGUAGAAAUGCAGCGGCUAGGGUUUGGAGAGAGAAGAGAAUGCUCGUGACUCGUGAGUGAAAAUGAAGAAAUAAUUAUUUAUUUUGGGGUUUUAGUCUUUUUAUUUUGAUUAAACGUUAUUCUUCCAUUGUUUUGUUUCCAAAAUAAUUUGAGAUGUUGUUGUUGUAAUUUGUAAAUCAUAUAGGAAAAGGAAAGGUUAAAAAUGUAUUUUAUCCAAAUGGAUAAGAUAAUUCGUUUUAUCGUUUUCAUUUCCUACCCAAAGAGAAAACUAAAUCGUAUAACAAAAAGGAAAACAUGUCAACCCUAUGGCUAUAUAUAUAUUAAUUAACAAUCAUUUCUUUCUUCACAUCAUCUCUUUCGUCAUAUCGUCUCUUUCUUCACAUCAUCUCUUUCUUCACUAACACUAGCUCUCUUUCUCUUCUUUGUUUUCGGUUUCUUCCAAAACGAAAACAUGGCGGAACCACCUAUGUGGCUUCAGAAUUUGAUGGAAUCAAAUAAUGGUUCGCAACCCAAGCUGAUAGUUAACAAAACCCUAACAGCAUCAGAUAUUUCAUCGCAUCAACAACGUCUGCUGUUCCCUGCUAAACAAAUGGUGACGAGGGAUUUUUUGACCGAUCAGGAACAAAAAACUUGCGAUGAAAAAGGUCUGAGCGUAGUUUUGCUUGAUACUAAGAACCAGCCUCGUAUAGUUACCUUGAAGAAGUGGACCGGGAUACUUCACAUCACCAAAGGUUGGAACAACGUGGUUGCCAAUAAUACGUUAAAGGAGAAGCAAGUCCUUCCUGUCUGGUCUUUCCGUUCCGGAGAUCAAGGUUUACUCUAUCUUGCUCUUCCGCCAGAAGAGAAGAAACACGAGUCUUUCUUGGAGGGUCUCGAAGCCGUUGGGACAGAAGAGAAGAAGAAACACGAAUCUUUCUUGGAGGAUCUCGACGUUGGGACAGAAGAGAAGAAACACGACUCUUUCUUGAAGGAUCUUGAAGCCGUUGGGACAGAAGAGAAGGAGAAACACGAGUAUUUCUUGGAGGAUCUCGAAAACGUUGGGACAGAAGAGAAGAAACACGAGUCUUUCUUGGAGGAUCUCGAAAACGUUGGGACAGAAGAGAAGAAACAUGAGUCUUUCUUGAAGGAUUUCGAAAACGUUGGGACAGAAGAGAAGAAACAUGAGUCUUUCUUGAAGGAUCUCGAAGACGUUGGGACAGAAGAGAAGAAACACGAGUCUUUCUUGAAGGAUUUCGAAGACGUUGGCUCUACUUCUCACGAUAACUUCGACCCUUACUUGGAGGAUAACAGCCACCUCGAUUCUCUUUUCCACGACAAUUCCGGCUACGUCGACCCUCAUCCCGGCCGCCUCAACUACUCUCUGGAUGAAACAGACGAGGUUGUCAAAUAUUUCGACCCCUGAUUCAGGGCAAGCCAUGCAUAGAUUUCUUUUACCUCUUUUGCCGUGUUAUGCAAGCAGUUUUUCAUCGGUUUUACCUUUGUUAUCUUAGCUUCAUUCAAUCUACUGUAAAUUGAUUGUUGCUUUUGGCAAAAUAAAAUUUAUUUCCAAUAUUUUCGCGUCAAUAUAAUUCAGAUCAAGAGUUUCUCUCUUUUCUUUAUUCAAAAAACAACAAAUCGUAUUCCAAAGGAUUAGUGUCAAUAAAUUGACUAACUAAUAACUAUUUAUCCUGGAUCCUUUUACAUACUUGGUCGAUGAUACAGAACCAAAAGUGCCUCAAAACCCUAUUUUUGCUCUUGCUUCUGUUGAUCUAACCACCGUACGUGUUGAGAAAACUGAACAGCAGCAGCAGUUGGGAUCAAGUUAACCGGCUCAUCUCUUGAUAAAUAGGAGUUGCAUGAUUAUAGCAAAGUUAUGCAGAUUACCAACGACGACGGAAACCACAAUUAAAAUACAAGUUCAAUUAAUUUAUCUUCACAUUAAAACCAAAAAAAGAAAGAAAAUGUGUGUUCAAUUAAUAUAGCAAUAUAGGGUUCAGGUUCUCGAUAGGCUAAAAAUCAAAUUAAAGCAGCACAUGUGCCCAAUAAUGUUCAAUAUAAUCCCAUGCCGGAGGUUUGUGUGAUUGUUGUUGUUUUGACAUCGAACAAUAAAUUAAUAAAAUACCCAAACCAAUCACUAAAUUGCCGAAGAUGUAUAAAUCAUGAUCGUGAGAAAAUGAAUAAGUGAUCUAUAUAUCAGGGUUUCUCUUUAUUUUGAUUGAAAUUUUUCUUCAGUUAUUUUGUUUUUAAAUUGUUGCCAAAAAAAUUCGAAAUGGUAUAUGUUGUAAAACACUAAAGGUAAAGAAAAGGUUAAUAAAUGUAUAUUAUCCAGUUGGAUAAUAUAAAAUAGUUAAGUUAUUAUUAUUAUUUUUUUUUUGAAACAGGCUUUCUAUAGAAUAGUUAAGUUAAUUCGUUUUAACAUUUUCUUUUAAUAUCUGAAAAGGAAAGAUAUAAAUCCUAUAAUAAUAAAAAGGAAAGAUUUGAACCCUAUAUAAAUCAAUCUUUAUCUUGAAUUCAUAUAUAAUCAUCUCUUUUUUUGCUCACCAUCUCUUCGUAGCACCUAUAUAUGUGACUUGUGUAGUGUGAUGGAAUCAAAAAAUAUGUCCAACCCAAAGCUCAUAGUUAAGAAAACCCUAUCAAAAUCAGAUGUCACAACACAUCAAUCACCUCUACUGAUCUCUCAUCAAAAUUUGGUGAAUAAGGAUUCUCUAGUAAGCUAUAAACAUGAGUCUUUCUUGAAGGAUUUCGAAGACGUUGGCUCUACUACUUCUCACGAUAACUUCGACCCUUUCUUGGAAGAUAACAGCCACCUUGCUUCUCUUUUCCACGAAGAUUCCGGCUACGUCAACCCUCAUCCCGGCCCCGUCGACUCCUCUUUAGAUGAAACAGACGCGGUUGUCAAAUCCCUGAUUCCGGCCAUGCAUGUAGUAAUUGACCUUUUUAGUGACAUUUGAAAGUUUUUUUUUACUUUUCUUUAGUUAGCUUAAUUAUAUCUAAAUUAAUUAAUUUUGUUGUUUUUGGAAAUUAUAAAAAUUGACAACUAUACCCCAUCUGGAUCCUUUUUUACAUACAUACUUGUCGAUGAUGCAAGGACAUCAGACAGAAACAAAAAAGCCUCAUAGAUGCAACCUUGUUGAGAAAACUGAACAGCGACGGUUCGGAUCAAGUUAACCGGAUCGUCCUCUAGAAAUAGGAGCUGCAUGAUUAUACAGCCGCUUCCACCAGUUUCCACAUCAAGAACCUUGUAGCUAAUUCGAUUGUUUUGAUUAGAUAAACUCUCUAGCGGAUUCCAACAAAGAGAUAAUCAAGCAAGCACUAAUCGUUAUGAGGAUCUUCCAUAUUCACCAUUCAGAAAGCUUGAAGCUCAUCCAGUUUUGCCUCGGUGCAUGUCUAUUUUAUAGCAUUCGCAACCUGAUGUACUAGAAGGUGCAAAAUCUAGUAGAACUAGUACAGCCUACGAGCAUACUUUCCACUAUAUACACUGUAUGCCAAAGAACAAUUAUGUUAACUAAGAGUGUCGUAACUGUUACAUACCUCUCCUGCAUCAUAGACAGCAACAAAGACUAAUUAAACAAAGCUAGAUGUAUAUGUUUAUUCAUAGCCAAUUGACAUAAACCGCAAUUAUCAGUAUUAUAUGUUUAUGCAAUCAUUUCCUUUCGAGUAGCAUCAAAAGGAAAACAGAGUUAAAAAGACACAUUCACACAUCUACAUGUUAGGCUUUAUAACAACACAUAAAGCUUAUUUUUCAUUACUUGAAACUAUUUUUUCCCAAACUUGUAGUAAUCUGAUCAGAAGAGUCUUGUAUACCUUCCAGAUUCUUCCCUCCCGAUGCCAACGAGCAAGAAUGUGAAGUGAAGAACACACUCGAAGAAGAAGAAGACUCGGCAGUCGAAAACAAUUCCCUCUCAUCAAAUCCUUUAGAUCUCUUCAUGUCUCUCUCUUCUUCUUCAUCAUGUUUCGCUCUCUUUGACCCGUUGUAAUGAACAGCCGAAGGUACUUGUUGGUCAUUAGAAGACACAGAAGGGCAAAGACCAGGCUCUUUUACGGUAUUAGCCUCUAAGGCCUCAAAGCUAUCUGCUACAAUCUCAUCAGGUGCUGCUCCGAUCAUGAUCUGUGCUUCACGGGUUCUUGAUAUGGCUUUAGCGAGUAGCUCACGAGCUGUGUCGAUGUCUACAAUGGGUUUUGCAUAGUUUGUUCCGAGUUCCACACCGGAAGCUUUGAGUACGGUUAAAGGAGCGUCCCAGGGAUGAUGGAUCCACUCAGUCGGCAAUCUUGCAAGCUCGGGAAGCCAUUGCCUUAUGUACUCACCUUCCGGGUCAUAUUUCGCGCCUUGUAACUGAAAUCAAAACAGAGAUUUUCAUAGAUUUCAGAACUUAAAUAACCAAAACCAAAUAAGCCGAAAAACCAAUAUAACCGAAAGCUGUCAUUUAGCUUAAACUCUAAACUAUAAGACAAAUUUCAUAGCUUACCGCAGGAUUGUCCAAACGAUCAAGCUCGUGGCCAUCGGGUAUGCUCCCAGAGAUAUACUGCCAGCCAAGGAUGUCACAUUCCAAAUCAGCAUCCAAAAGUGUAUCCCAGAAAUACUUCAUUCCCCAUUUCCAUGGAAGGAGAAGAAACUUCACAGCAAAGCUUGAAACAAUCACUCUUAUUCUGUUAUGCAUCCAUCCGGUAGCCCAAAGCUCUCUCAUUCCUGCAUCCACCAACGGAUAACCAGUCCUGCCUUGUCUCCAGGCCUUGAACUUAUCAACAUCAGCAUCCCAAGGGAAAAACCGAAGAUGACUCAACAAUGAUUUCUCGUGAGUAAACGGGAAGUUGAAACAUAUAUACCGAGAGUACUCUCUUAGACCGAUCCCUCUCAGAAAAAGAUCUGCACUUUCUUCUCCUUCACUGUUCUUAUCUCUUGCCCAUAUAAUUUGUUUCAUCCGGGCACACUGGAAAACGUGUCUGACGCUUAUUUCCCCAAAAUGGAGGUAUGGAGAAAGAAGUGAAGUUGAAUUCCCAACAACUUUCUUGCUGUUCUUUGCGUAAUUUACCAACUGCUUCUCGAUGAACUCAUUUAGUAUCUUAUCAGCAUUGCUCCAUCCUGGAGACCAAGCUCUAGUUAACAACGCAUUGCUUGGCUUUUCAGCCUCAUUCUCUAAGCCUAGCUCGUCAAUCGAACAUGCCCAAACCGCUUCAGCCGCUAACAAAGAAAAGACAUAAAAUUUUACUACGGCUUAUGUCCUAAAGAAAACGUUUUGGCUUUUACAUAAUACUCUUUGAUAGUCUUACCUGCAGUUAUUGGUAUCAACCGCCAAGGAGGAGGAAGCAUAACGGAUUCAAUCGACAUAUCUAAGCAUUUCUUCCAGUAAGAACUGAAACUCGUAAAAGGCUUGCCCUUAUCGCAGUAUAUCUCCCACGGCUCAUACAAUAGAUCUCCAUUGUAGCUUUGCACAGAGAUCCCACGUUCCACCAGCUUCUCCUUUACGGUAUGGUCCCUAACUAACGAUACAGGAUCUACAACAAAGAAGACGCGACUUCAUCAACCUCAGUUACAUUAGUUUUCUACUACACUAACUUCAAAGGAAUUUAUGUCACUUUGAGAGAUAGUACCGUAGAGAUGGUUAAAGACAACUUUUGUGGCACCGGUAACGCGGAUACAAUCCAAGAUCGCUGAAACAGUGUUAUGGGUUUUGAUUAAAGUGAGCUCAGAGCCAAGAGCCUUCAAGGACUGAGAUAAGUGAGCAAGUGAUUGUUUCAUCCACCAUCUCGAAGCUCUUCCAGGAUAAAACUGUCCUUCUUCUUCAGGACACCAAAUGAAGACUGGAAAAACAGAUCCUUCGUGAGCAGCUGCUGCUAAUGCAGGAUUAUCCUCAAUCCUUAGGUCUCUUCUAAACCAAACUAUAGUCUUUUUGUCCGUCGUCAUAGUUACUGUGAUGAUCAGAGAUGAAUCAAGACCAAAAAAUUCACUUUUUUUUUAUCCAAGUCUUUCAGACCUCAAGCUUUUCCAGGGGAUGUAUAUAGUUACUGUAUCAAUAACAAGAGAGAGUGAUCAAUCAGGAAUCUAUCAUCUUUAAAUCCUAAAUCCAAAAACAAUCUGCACAACACAUACACGAAGGGAUUCGAUUUAGCCCUAAAAUCCUUAAAACAGAGCAAGCAAGAGAAUUUUAAUUGAGAUAAAAGAUAAAAUCAAAGGAUGAAGAUCUACUAUAUGAAUACUCAAUAAAGAAGAAAUCAAAAGCUGGAAACUUUUUUUACCAGAACUCCAAAUCAGAGUAGAGAUAUCAUCUUUCGGCGAAAAAGAUCCCGAAUCAAAGACUGUCAAAGGUUUAUUUUAAUGACUCAGGCGCUUCUUCCUUGCUAUUUCGGGUAUGCCAAGUUAAAGAUUUGAGAUCUAAGGAAAGACGAAAACAUACCCAUGAGAGUAUGAAUGUAAUAAUUGUGCAAUAUAAUAAUAAUCACAACGAGACAAAAGUAGAGAACUUUAUCCACAACUAGUGGCGUAUGUUCUUAUAAUAGUGUUUAUUUUUACCGACAUCUCAUCUCUCAUUUGCUCAUCUACGAUUUUAUUGGGAUCAUCUUCUUACCAAACCUUUUUGUAAUGAGAUAUUUUUUUCUUUAUAAGAGAUCAAAUUUUGUCUGGAUGUUAUAGUGGGCCUAAAGUGCUGUGAAGAUACUCUUAUCUUAUGUAAGGUUUGGGGCCAAUGACGGUGGUUCAUGAACUCGAUUCUGCUCCCAUGCCCACUUUUGUAGAAUCCACUAAAAUAUAAAGUCUUUAUAAGGUGGCUCAUGUAUGUUGUGUGUAUAUAAACUCUUCAAGGUAAAGAACUUGAUUCUCGUUUCUAAGCAAAAAUCCACUCCUCUUUUUACUUUACAAAAGGAAAAGCGAAGGUAAACUUUGAAUAUUCGUAUUCGAGCCUUCACUAAACUCGAAUCCUCGUAUACAGUUGCCUAUUGUUUCAAGGAUAGUCGAAAAAUAGAAACAGUCUAACUCAGACUUUAAAAAGAUUCAAGUCUGUUGUAUUUUUAAGUCCAAAUUACAAGAUUUAAUUCCAGUAGUCAUUGGGUGUUCUGCAAGACUAGUUAUACGAUAAACCACGGAAUUGCCUAUUUUCCUUUUUUUAUGGGUAAACCAAAUCAGACACAGAAUAAACGAUAUCCUGGUUUAGAAACAGACCAGGGACAAUGCUCAUCAAAGAGAAACCCACAAAGAGGUUCUAAAACAGUGUUUGGCGAUCUUUUCAAAGACAUUUUUUUUUUAUUCAGACAAGCUUUUUAACGAUAUCAAAUCUUAAAUGGCUCCCAGAAGAAGAGUAUUGCUUUAAGAGAGGCAUGAGUACGCCAAGUCCUUCUCUUCCUUGAGCUCCUCUGCGGUCAAAUCCAUCUUCUUCCUUGAUACUUCAUCAAUUGGAAGCCCUAACCAAACAAAAUACACAUUAGUAUGCACAAACUUGGGUUUCAGAGUUUGGUAUGUGAGUUGUAAAAAACUUGUUUUUACCUUGGACAAUGCUCCACUCUCCAUUGCGACAGGUUACAGGGAAGGAAUAGAUAAGUCCUGAUGGAACAUUGUAAGAGCCAUCAGAGUAUACUCCCAUGGAAACAAAGGUACCCUGACCAAUGGAAUCAAAGAAAGAACUCUCCAGUUAGAAUAAUAAUUAUAAAAUGCACUGCAAAAAAACAGGGAAGAGUUUAAUUAUGAACCUCUGGAGUUCCAAGGACCCAGUCACGGAUGUGGUCACAAGCAGAGCUGGCAGCAGAAAGUGCACUAGACAACUUCCUAGCCUUGAUGAUCGCAGCUCCACGUUGUUGAACUGUAGUGAUGAAUUCUCCGUUCAACCUACACAAUGAGCAAAUAUUUAGUUGAAAUUAGAGUUUGCUUCGAGAUAAACGAAAGGGUCGGUAUGAAAUGCAUACCAUUCAUCGUCCUUGACGAGCUCACGGACAGGCUUUUCUCCAGAUGAGGUCUGCACUUUAGCAUGGUUGACAUCUGGGUACUGUGUGGAUGAGUGGUUCCCCCAGAUGAUCACGUUCUUAACAUCAGACACUGGCACACUCAACCUCUCAGAAACCUGACCCAAUGCCCUGUUGUGGUCAAGCCUUGUCAAACAAGUGAUGUUCUUUUCAGGGAUGGAUGGUGCGAAUUCCUUCAGGAUCAAUGCGUUGGUGUUUGCGGGGUUAGCAACAACAAGAACCUGAAAAUGACAAAAUGAGAGAGAAGGUCUGAGCAAGAGAGAGAGAGUCACAAAACAGAACCCAAAUGAUAAUACGAUGCAUCCUAUCACCUUGCAGUUUGGAGCGGCAUGCUUCUCCAACGCAGCAGCCUGAGACUUGUAAAUAGAGACAUUCUUGGACAUCACAUCUUUCCUCUCCAUUCCUUCUUUCCUCGGGAAACCACCAACCAUAACAGCAACAUUGACUCCAGUACAUCCCUCAACGGCAUCAGUUGUGGCAACAACACCUGAUAAUAAACGUGUUCAUCAUCUUACCCACUUGAGCGGUCGCACAGAUUGAAAAAAAAAAAUUAAAAACUCUAAUUACCUUUAAGAAGAGGGAAAGCAGCAUCGAUCAAUUCCAUCUUCACACCAUUAAGUGCUUCAGCAGCUGGAGGAAUAUCCAACAUAUGGAGGAUAACAGGCUGGUCAGCACCAAGCAUGAUUCCCCUUGCAAUCAUAGGGACAAGAGCAUAUCCGAUUUGUCCUGCAUAAAGGUACAUAAAAACAACGGAUUCCAAAUAAGAGUUUAGUCAAUCAAAUAAUCCAUCCCAAAAUCAGAUAUGAGAGCAAGUCAAUCAAACCAGUAGGAAAUUAAGGAGGAACACUAGAUGGUUCUUGCAUGAAGCAAGAUGAUUCAUUCACACGGAGAGACUAUAAGAAUCCUAGUGCUUUCGUCAUAUUUCAAGUCUAGCAAAGUCAAGAUCCAGUAAAUAAAAACGACCAGAUCCAACGAAACAAGAGUCAACCUAUAUAUCAUCGGUCAACGGUAUAACCAAAGGCUAAGCAGAGAUUCGACUAGACUAAGCAAGAGCUUUGCGAAUUUACUAGCAGGAGAUCCAAAAUAAGAGAUAGAAGCUACAGGAUCGCAAAACACAUAAAGCUAUACCUGCAGCUCCAGUGACGAGAACACGAACUGGUUCCUUGGCCAUCGGAUCUAGAUCGGAGAUUAUCGCCGGAAAGGAUCGGAGUUGAGGAUUUUGGACUUUCGAGAGAGCGUAGAGUCAGUGAAGAUAUAUUGUGUCCGUGAAGCUCACUCUUGUAUCGAAGAUAUCGAUGGAUAAAAGAUAUUCAAUAAAUCUUAUGAUUUUGAUGGGCCUUUUAAGAUUAGGGCCCAAAAUAAUUUAGCCCAGAGUUUUCAAAACCGUGAAUCAAUUAAAACAGUAGAUAUGGUGGGGAUAAGGCGAGAACCACGUCCACCACAAUCUCCGGUAUGGCGUCAUCUUACGCCACCUUCUCAAUAGUUACUCCGACGGUCAGCGGCAAUGCUGACAACAUUCGAGGCUUCGCUCGCGUACCCUUCUCGCGUCGACGUGUAACUCCAUCACCGAGUGCUCGGAGGAGAACUUUGGUUGUGGUGAAAGCGUCGACGAAGAAUGCAAUGGAGUACCGGAAAUUAGGAGACUCCGAUCUUAACAUCAGCGAAAUUACUUUUGGCACUGUAAGGAUGCAUCUCUUUGUUCUCCUGAAAUUGUAGUUCAUUGUUCAAUUUGUCGCUGAGUGGGUCUGUUUUUUAUACAUGGAAGUUUUGGUGAAAUUUCGAAUUUCAGAUGACAUUUGGGGAGCAAAACACUGAGAAAGAAUCUCAUGAGAUGUUGAGUUAUGCAAUUGAACAGGGCAUCAACUGUAUUGACACUGCUGAAGCUGUGAGUUUUUUUUAAUCUUUAUUUGUUCAUAAUUCUCUUCAAGUUUGGUGAAAUUGAAUCUUUUUUUUACUUUAUGUAUGUGUCUUGAUUAUUGCCUCUGCAUAUAUGAGCUAAAGACCUAUCUUCUCUGCCCUGCCUUAUAUAACACUUGUAUUGAGAUAUUGGGAAGUUUUUGGUUUAUCGAAAAGGUCAUUUAAACCAUGACUCCAUGGUGGGUGAGCUCUGGUUUAUAGUGUAGUUAAUCCUUUUCAUGAUUCUUGUUGUAAGAAUUUACAGACUGAGAUAUGUAUUUGUUCUAAACAGCACUAGUUAGCUGUUUUUACACUUGUGUUUAGCGUUCUGGCACCUGCUUAGUUGUGUGGUAGAUCUGUUGUGGUGAUUUCUAAUUCAAUUAUUUACAUAUUUUUCAGUAUCCUGUACCGAUGAAGAAGGAGACUCAAGGAAAUACUGAUCGUUAUAUCAGCAGCUGGUUGAAGUCUCAGCAACGUGACAAGGUAUCACUAUUGGUCAUUCUUUAGAUGCAUGUCAUAGUGCUGCGGUUCUUGGAUUCCAUUGAUUGAUAUGGCACCAGUUUAUACUGACUUUGACUCUUAAAAGUUCUUUAUCUGUUAUAAUUGUUAGCAAAGUUUAUCCUUCGUGCUUGAAGUCAUCACUGUCUUUGUCAAUUUGAUGGUCAAGUAUAUUCUGAAUCAGCAAAGCCUCCUUUAGUUGUAGAAUUGUCAUUGAUUCUUUUUUUUUUUUUUUCUGUGUACAGGUUGUUUUGGCAACUAAAGUAAGUGGGUACUCAGAAAGAUCAACUUACUUGAGGGACAGUGGUGAGGUUCUGCGUGUAAACGCUGCUAAUAUCAAAGAAAGUGUUGAGAAAAGUCUUAAGCGCCUUGGAACUGAUUACGUUGAUUUGCUCCAAAUACACUGGUAAUAUCGCCUUAUUUUGUGGUCUAAGCCUAACUCAUAUGCUAUAUUGUUUAAGCAAGUUGUUCGUCAUUCCAUAGGCAUAUUAUCUCUAUAUUCAUCAUCAAUGUCUCAAAAUCAUGAUACUGAAUGAUUUUCAGUCCAGGCCAGAUCGAUAUGUACCACUCUUCGGUGAUUUUUACUAUGACACGUCCAAAUGGAGACCUAGUGUCCCAUUCGCUGAACAAUUAAGAGCCUUUCAGGAUCUCAUAGAUGAAGGAAAGGUAGUGCUACUUGUCAAAAAUCAGAUGUUAUAAAAACUCUUUACUGUAUAAACCGCAAACACAGUAUUUUGAAGUGAACCUCGAAUUCUGUAACAGGUUCGCUUCAUCGGUGUCUCGAAUGAAACUUCAUAUGGAGUGAUGGAGUUUGUUAAUGCAGCAAAACUUGAAGGACUGCCAAAGAUUGUGAGCAUCCAGAAUGGUUACAGCUUGCUAGUUAGAUGCCGAUUUGAAGGUAAAUUAUCUCUCUAUAAAACCUAGAGAGCAAAAGUGUAGGAGCAAGUUCUAAACUCUUGUUUUGGGCUAAAAUCACAGUUGAUCUGGUAGAAGUAUGCCACCCAAAAAAUUGCAAUGUUGGGUUGCUUGCUUACUCCCCUCUUGGAGGCGGCUCGUUGUCUGGGAAAUACUUGGUUCCAGACCCAGAAACUACAAAAAAUGCAAGGCUGAAUCUUUUCCCAGGAUAUAUGGAACGUUACAAGGGAUCCCUAGCCAAGGUUUGUUCUUGAUCCAAUUAUGCAUUACAUCCUCUUAUGUAUAACAAUUAAGAAACGUGAUAAGCUUUGAAUAUAACUGUAAAGCCACGCGGUGAAAGUUUCUGAGGUCAAUAGUAUAUUUGUUCCGAUGUCAGGAAGCAACCAUACAAUACAUUGAGGUGGGGAAGAAGCACGGUUUAACUCCAGUUGAGUUAGCACUCGGGUUUGUACGUGACCGGCCCUUUGUGACGAGCACGAUCAUUGGGGCCACAUCAGUAGAGCAACUUAAAGAAGACAUUGAUGCUUUUCUGAUGACAGAGCGGCCGUUUUCACAAGAAGUAAUGGCGGAUAUUGAAGCUGUUUUCAGAAGGUUUAAAGACCCUUCUUUCGUUUGAAAGAAAAGAAGAACAGGUUUCUCAUGAGUUUGUGUGACCUCACCGUGAACGUCCGUCGAUAAGUUAUUUAGCAUGAAUUUGUUUUUUUUUUUAAGAGUUGUUGUCUGUUUCGGUGACUCCAUAUGAUAGAUAUACACCACUCGAUUCUCAUACUAUAAUAGUGAUGAACCACAGUUACACAAUACGUUUCAACGCUCUAAUGAAUUAUUUAUAAUGGGCCUAAACCAAAUCCAGUUGAUCCAUUAAGCAUAUUAUAUCAUCAAAUAUUGGACUUGUAAGAAAACACUGAUGGGCUGGGCCGAUAUCAACACAGUCCAGCAAGAAGAAUAAACGGUAACUUAUGGCGUCAAAGCAGGCUAGGUAACUGUGAGUUAGCCGUUGAGGAUGUAACGGUAACUUAUGACGUCAAAUCUGACAAUUUUUACUUCAGAAUUCGAAAACUAUCCGUUAGUAAUUUUCUCCAACGGUAAAAUUUUUAUCUAUAUAUAGUAAGCAAUAUACACAUCCUUCUGUUACAGCUAAAAUUGAUCCAAAAGAUGUAAAUAGAAACUCUCAGUCUCUCUCUCUCUCUCUAUCUCUCACUACGGCGGCAAAAACUCCAAGAAACUCUUAAGUUCAUCUCCGGCGGCAGCAAAAACUCAGCCCUCUUUUUUAUUUUUCAGUGAGUUUACUUUUCAUUUUAAAAGAGUUUUAAAUUCACACGAGUGUGUCCACUUCCUUACUUUAAGUUUUGUUCGUAUUUAUAGUUUCAUUGUCGUAUCGUUAGGGUUUGUUUAUUCACUCGCAUUAUAUACUCCUCCUGGCUCUUUAGUGCUUUGUUUUGACCUAUGUUGAUACUGAUUUAUUCCAUCCUAUUUCUUGUUAGUUUUUCGUUUACAACUUAUGGAUUAAAUUACAAUGUUGAAAUUAAGGUGGAAUGUUUUUCAAUAUACUAUGAUCAUUCUCAUAUUUUCGUAGUUAUUAAUCAAACAUAUCUUCUUCUUUUUGCAAGGUGCCAUUCAGAUGGGGAGAGCAGAGCUUUCAAAGACAACAACAAUUUUCCACUACUAAUUAGAGAGAGCCAACAACCGUUUACUAAUUGAACCACUCCUUUAGCCUUUUAGUCGGUAACAACUCUCAACAAACAGUUAAUUUUGAACAUUUAGUAUAUAUGAGAUCCUUCUAACAAGAUUUAGUAGUAUAUAUCGACUAUCGAGGCAUGUUAUUAACUCUACUUUUCCUCCUUUUUUUUUUGUGUGAACUUAAAAACAAAACAAUUCGCAAACACUAGAUGAAAAUACAUUUUAGUCAAAGCACUUGUUGCUUCCUUAGUCAAUGAUCAGCCUCAUGUUUUCGUUAUUAUUUAUUUGAUGUUAUAUAUAUAUAGUGUUGUUGAUCGUAGUAUUAAUCAAAAUAAUGUCUUUUAUUGCAAGGGAUGAUUAUUCGGCUGAGGGAAAAACAAAGCUGUUGAAGUUAACAACAAUUUUCCGCUACUUAAAAGAGCCAACGUUUAUCCACCAAACAAGCAUUGCAAUUUCCUCAAGAGGUUAGUGUUUUCAAUGAUUUUUCAAUAUUCGAAUCAUCAACAAAUUAGUCGCAGCACUUCUUUAGUCGAAACACUGAAUAUUUUAUACAACUACUUGAAUUUUGGAUGAGAAAAACCGAGCACUUAGUCAUAUUAAACACCCACGUCUUAAAAAGUACACAACUGCACACACACUUUGACACAUGUGGUAAACACUAAAUCAAUUCAACCAAAUCACUUAUUAGUCAAAACUUGCGUCUUAAAAAACACACUAAGUAAACAAAUUUAGGCGUACCACUUAGCACAUCAAAAUACAAUUUUUAGAGGGGAAACUUUUUUUCCAACUAAUUAAUUCGUACCUUGAAAUGUUUAAUCGUAGCAAACGGGUAAGUGAAUAUUAAAACUCAAUUAAACAAACUAACUCAGUUAAACAAAUUGAAUAGGCAAACACUUAACAAAUUAAUCUUGACACUUGACACGAAUAGGCAAACACAGUUUAAUAGCAACAUUAGAGAGGAACAAAC